rnacentral:rRNA from 1 species
GACGAACGCUGGCGGCGUGCUUAACACAUGCAAGUCGAACGGAAAGGCCCUGCUUUUGUGGGGUGCUCGAGUGGCGAACGGGUGAGUAACACGUGAGUAACCUGCCCUUGACUUUGGGAUAACUUCAGGAAACUGGGGCUAAUACCGGAUAGGAGCUCCUGCUGCAUGGUGGGGGUUGGAAAGUUUCGGCGGUUGGGGAUGGACUCGCGGCUUAUCAGCUUGUUGGUGGGGUAGUGGCUUACCAGGGCUUUGACGGGUAGCCGGCCUGAGAGGGUGACUGGCCACAUUGGGACUGAGAUACGGCCCAGACUCCUACGGGAGGCAGCAGUGGGGAAUAUUGCACAAUGGGCGGAAGCCUGAUGCAGCAACGCCGCGUGCGGGAUGACGGCCUUCGGGUUGUAAACCGCUUUCGCCUGUGACGAAGCGUGAGUGACGGUAAUGGGUAAAGAAGCACCGGCUAACUACGUG